rnacentral:rRNA from 1 species
UGGUAGAGGCGACGAGCAAAAAAGAAAAGGAAAAAAAUCGGCGUAGUCUAACUCUUAACCUAUACGACCCAAGUCGCCAGGAGGCCGAGCGGUGGGGCGGAGCGCGGCGGCGGAGGCGACGACGGUUUUUGUAGAGCGAGCACCUACCCUCGGAGGCGCGACACGACGUGGGCCCCCGCCUGCUGCGUCUAAGUCGCCGUCGCCCCACGAGCGUGUUCACCGCCUACCACUAGCGGAUGCUGCCAUGGUUCAAGUUUCCGACCGUCAUAGUUGGUAGUGGAGGUUGAUAUGUUACGAAAGAUCUCUUUCGUGACUAUGCGUAGUGCUUCGACCUGGCCUUCCUCGAAACAAACCAACCACGUCCUUCUUGUCUAUGUCCACAAGUACGUGCCCCAGUCCACCGUGUAAAGUGGUGCAGCAAACGGAUGGUAACAGAGCUGUCGAAAGUAAGACGUUAGUUACCCGAAGAUGGAGGACUAUAGGCUCAAUCUCUUUAAUCGCGUCGAACAGGUCUUAAGGUACGAGCGUGUAGGUGUUUCUCGUUUUAUAUAGUAAUGUUCUAGAUAUUGCUUCGUCAAUACCUGGGGAAGGUAUGAUUAAUACGAAUGGUGUCACGUGUAUUUGAAUUAGGUGUACGAUACGUCCUCCGACGUUUAGUAAAACAACCUCAUGUACUGAAGUGUAGAAAGCGGUUACGUCAUGUAUUACUAGCACACGCGUCAGGUUAUUUCUUCUAUAGUGCGAAACUACAAUGAUUUUACCUACGAUAGUAUGUCGAGCUCCAACUUCCGUGACCGAAAAACAUGUCUGUUCACUCCUUGUACCAUCGAAACCAUUAAGUUCAACCUUCCCUCCCUGACGGAGGACUUUAGCAGGGCUGUUAGUAACGCCGUUUCCUGGCGUUUCUUGAACGCUUCCAGCGGAACAGUCGUGGUGGUGUACCUAACAUAGAGUACAGUCAAUUGAUACUGUUUCUUUAGAACUUCGGAGGACACCCAAGGGGAGGCCACUCGAAACCUUCCUGAGUAGUUUAGUCAUCUACGUUUGAAGAUAAAAUGAUCGUGUUUACAGGCACGCAACGUUGUCUUUAAAAAAAUACAAAUAAUCAUAUUUUGUGUAGGCAACAAGUAAUUUUAACAUGCACGUCUAGGGUACACAACGUUACCUAUAAUAUUUGAUUUAAACUCUCGAACACACC